rnacentral:rRNA from 1 species
GGCGGCAUGCCUUACACAUGCAAGUCGAACGGCAGCACGGAGCAAUCCUGGUGGGCGAGGUGGACGAACGGGUGAGUAAUAUAUCGGAACGUGCCCAGUCGUGGGGGAUAACGUAGCGAAGCUACGCUAAUACCGCAUACGAUCUAAGGAUGAAAGCGGGGGAUCGCAAGACCUCGCGCGAUUGGAGCGGCCGAUAUCAGAUUAGCUAGUUGGUGAGGUAAAGGCUCACCAAGGCGACGAUCUGUAGCUGGUCUGAGAGGACGACCAGCCACACUGGGACUGAGACACGGCCCAGACUCCUACGGGAGGCAGCAGUGGGGAAUUUUGGACAAUGGGCGCAAGCCUGAUCCAGCAAUGCCGCGUGCAGGAUGAAGGCCUUCGGGUUGUAAACUGCUUUUGUACGGAACGAAACGGUGAGCUCUAAUACAGCUUGCUAAUGACGGUACCGUAAGAAUAAGCACCGGCUAACUACGUG